rnacentral:lncRNA from 1 species
ACAAGUCCUGCUGCGGUUCAAAAAGAGGGAACACACACCCUACCUCUUCAAAGGAGGAGUGUCAGUGACACUGGAAGACAGUGAUGUGAGAUGGGAUAUUCCUAGGGCCAUCUUUGGAAAAUAGGACAUAGGAAACAGCUCUGUUAAGUACAAAGCAUCACAUGAAUGGUGUUGCUAAUACUCAGGCCUUCCCCUGAAGUGCUGUUUCACAUAUUUAACAGGGACCUUGAAUCCAGGAACACCUGCCUCCAUCUAGAAUAUUUCACACCGCGGUCACCUCACUCUUCUGGACAUGGGUCUGAUUUUUCUACCAAGCCUAAGCACCAAGGCAUGGAUCUGGGCACUGGAAAUAAAGUGAUAAUCAAGAUAUCCAUCAUCACUGCCAUCAUCGAACUUGAACCUGGAAGGAAUGAACUCAGUGCACUUUUAGAGAAGGAGUCGUCAGUGAAUGAGGGCUCUGAAAUGUUGGACAAGAUGGGAUUUAACAUCAAGACAACAAGCCCCAGAGGUAGCUUGAGGACUGGUCUAAGACUUCUCACACACUCACUCCAAUAAACUAGACCAGGCUUCUCGGGAGUCCCGUUUCUGAAGUGUGUGUGGUGGUGAGCAGUGGGCGC